rnacentral:tRNA from 1 species
AGGGGUGUAGCUCAGGGGUAAGGCAUGUGCUUAGCAUGCCCAAGGCCCUGGGUUCAAUUCCCAACACUGCUG